AUCAUAGGGAUUUUCACUGGAAUGUUGAAGAACCACAAAAUACUCUUAAAAGAGGAUGUUAUACAAUCCAGGAUAGAUGUUCUAUGCAAUUUUUCAAACUUAGGGACUUGGGUUCACAAUAUACACUGAAAAGAAAGAA